rnacentral:tRNA from 1 species
GGUGGCUCAAUGGUAGAGCGCUUGCCUUGCAUGCAUGAGGCCCCUGGGUUCAAUUCCUCAGCACCA